rnacentral:SRP_RNA from 1 species
GCUGGGCAUGGUGGUGCACGCCUGUAAUCCCAGCUACUCAGGAGGCUGAGGCAGGAGAAUUGCUUGAACCCGGGAGGCAGAGGUUGCAGUGAGCCAAGAUUGUGCCACUGCACUCCAGCCUGGGCAACAGAGCAAGACGCUGUCCCCCACAAAAAANNNNNNNNNNUUUUUUGUGGGGGACAGCGUCUUGCUCUGUUGCCCAGGCUGGAGUGCAGUGGCACAAUCUUGGCUCACUGCAACCUCUGCCUCCCGGGUUCAAGCAAUUCUCCUGCCUCAG